rnacentral:rRNA from 1 species
CGCGAAUGGCUCAUUACAACAGCUAAAAUCUACUUGAUCUUGACACAAUCCUACUUGGAUAACUGUGGUAAUUCUAGAGCUAAUACAUGCAUUAAAGCUCUGACCUCGCGGGAAGAGUGCAUUUAUUAGAACAAAACCAAGCGGCUUCGGCUGUUUCUGGUUGACUCAUAGUAACUGAGCUGAUCGCAUGGUCUUGCACCGGCGACGUGUCUUUCAAGUAUCUGCCGUAUCAACUUUCGAUGGUAGUGUAUCUGACUACCAUGGUGAUCACGCGUAACGGAGAAUAAGGGUUCGGCUCCGGAGAGUUCGCCUGAGAAAUCGCGAACACAUCUAAGGAAGGCAGCAGGCGCGAAAAUUACCCACUCUCAGCACGAGGAGGUAGUGACGAAAAAUAACGAGACCGUUCUCUUAUGAGGCCGGUCAUCGGAAUGGGUACAAUUUAAACCCUUUAACGAGUAUCUAUGAGAGGGCAAGUCUGGUGCCAGCAGCCGCGGUAAUUCCAGCU